CCUACGGGUGGCAGCAGUGGGGAAUAUUGCACAAUGGGCGAAAGCCUGAUGCAGCAACGCCGCGUGAAGGAAGACGGUUUUCGGAUUGUAAACUUCUGUUCUUAGUGAAGAAUAAUGACGGUAACUAAGGAGCCAGCCACGGCUAACUACGUGCCAGCAGCCGCGGUAAUACGUAGGUGGCAAGCGUUGUCCGGAAUUACUGGGUGUAAAGGGAGCGUAGGCGGGAAGCCAAGUCAGCUGUGAAAACUACGGGCUUAACCUGUAGACUGCAGUUGAACCUGGCUUUCUUGAGUGAAGUAGAGGUAGGAGGAAUUCCGAGUGUAGUGGUGAAAGGCGUAGAUAUUCGGAGGAACACCGGUGGCGAAGGCGGCCAACUGGGAUUUAACUGACGCUGAGGCUCGAAAGUGUGGGGAGCAAACAGGAUUAGAUACCCUAGUAGUC
rnacentral:rRNA from 1 species